GGGGAAUAUUGCACAAUGGGCGAAAGCCUGAUGCAGCAACGCCGCGUGAGUGAAGAAGGUUUUCGGAUUGUAAAGCUCUGUCAUCUGGGACGAUAAUGACGGUACCAGAUGAGGAAGCCACGGCUAACUACAUGCCAGCAGCCGCGGUAAUACGUAGGUGGCAAGCGUUGUCCGGAUUUACUGGGCGUAAAGGAUGUGUAGGCGGAUAUUUAAGUGAGAUGUGAAAGACCCGGGCUUAACUUGGGCAGUGCAUUUCAAACUGGAUGUCUGGAGUGCAGGAGAGGAGAACGGAAUUCCUAGUGUAGCGGUGAAAUGCGUAGAGAUUAGGAAGAACACCAGUGGCGAAGGCGGUUCUCUGGACUGUAACUGACGCUGAGGCACGAAAGCGUGGGUAGCAAAC
rnacentral:rRNA from 1 species